rnacentral:rRNA from 1 species
GACGAACCGUGCGAACGUUAUUCGGAAUCACUGGGCUUAAAGCGCGUGUAGGCGGGCCGCCCCGUCGGCUGCUGAAAUCCCCCGGCUCAACCGAGGAACGGGCACCGAUACGAGCGACCUGGAGGGGGGUAGGGGGAGCUGGAACUUCCGGUGGAGCGGUGAAAUGCGUAGAGAUCGGAAAGAACACCAACGGCGAAAGCACUCUGCUGGGCCGACACUGACACUGAGAGACGAAAGCUAGGGGAGCGAAUGGG